rnacentral:rRNA from 1 species
UACGUAGGUGGCAAGCGUUGUCCGGAUUUACUGGGCGUAAAGGGCGCGUAGGCGGGCAUUUAAGUCAGACGUGAAAUACCGGAGCUCAACUCCCGGGCUGCGUUUGAAACUGGAUGUCUUGAGUGCAGGAGAGGGAAGCGGAAUUCCUAGUGUAGCGGUGAAAUGCGUAGAUAUUAGGAGGAACACCAGUGGCGAAGGCGGCUUUCUGGACUGUAACUGACGCUGAGGCGCGAAAGUGUGGGGAGCAAAC